AACUGGGGUGUGUGUGAGGAGAAGGUCUGGGCCUCGCGCUUGGGUUUUUAAAAGUGAACGGCCGUUGGUCAGAAUGGCGGCAUGCUAUCGGUGCGUCGAAUGUAAUAAGGAGGCACAAGAACUUCAUAGGGACUACAGCCACGGGAUCAUCAAGAUAACCAUUUGUAAAUCAUGCCAGAAACCGGUUGACAAGUACGUUGAAUAUGAUCCUGUGAUCAUUCUCAUUGAUGCAAUCUUAUGUAAAGUUCAAGCUUAUAGGCACAUCAUCCUGAAUACCAAAAUUAAUAUUCAUUGGAAACUGUGCAUAUUCUGCUUGUUGUGUGAAGCAUAUCUUCGGUGGUCACAGCUACAGGAUUCGCAGCAAAUUGUAGAUCCAACAGAUAUAAUUCGUUAUGCCAAAGAGUGGGAUUUCUACCAAAUGUUUGGAUUAGCUAGUUUGGAACUAGCAGCAUUCCUGAGUGGGACAUUUUUCUUCUUGUGGUUAACAAACAACGAUUUCAUCCAGAAGAAAUCAAACUGCAACACAUUGCUAAUAGCUUUAUUAUUGUCUGGCUAUGGGAAACUCCUUGUGAUUCCAGCUGUGAUCUGGGAACAUGAUUAUUCACCACUGUACAUUGGUCUCAUCAAAUUCUUUGUGCUUGCAUCAAAUGCACAAGCUGUCAGAGUCGUGCUGAAUAGCAGCAGAAGAUUUGCAUUGUCUGUCAUUUUUGUUGGAUGGAUGGUGGAGCAGUUAACAGCCUGCAUCUUUGAACAGCUGAAAUUGACCUUAUAAGUGUUUCAGAAAUAUCUAAGAGCAUAAGCCAUUUGAAUUGCUCUUUCUACAAAACUUUUAUGGCUUGCACUGAUACACACUCUCUGCAACAAUCUCCUGAGGGAUUUUAACAACCACAGGUUCUUUCUCGAUAUCGUUGUGAACGUCGUGCAGAAGCUGCUGUGACGAUACUGUGUUAGGAGACGCAAUAAAGUGUUUCUUUGUGCGACAAACUCACGUGUGGUAACAACGGCAGACGCUUAGUGAGAACUGGAGCAUGGCGAGCCGGCGCAGAAGAGACAUGCCUUCCAUGAAAACGGAAUCUCAUAUCAUUGUAUUGAAAAGAGGAAAUGCAGGGUUUGGGUUUAACAUCUUGGGAGGAGUGGAUAAACCCUGUUAUCCUGGAAAUUUUGGAAUCUAUGUGGCUAAAAUAAGAGAAAACGAAUCAGCAGCUCUUGAUGGGAGACUUAGAGAGGGUGACAAGAUCUUGGAGGCUGGCGGAGUUUCACUUGUUAAUAUAUUGCAUGAGGAAGCAGCGGA